rnacentral:rRNA from 1 species
UACGUAGGGCGCAAGCGUUGUCCGGAAUUAUUGGGCGUAAAGAGCUCGUAGGCGGUCUGUCGCGUCGGCUGUGAAAACUCGGGGCUCAACCCCGAGCCUGCAGUGGAUACGGGCAGACUAGAGGUAGGUAGGGGAGAAUGGAAUUCCCGGUGUAGCGGUGAAAUGCGCAGAUAUCGGGAGGAACACCGGUGGCGAAGGCGGUUCUCUGGGCCGUAACUGACGCUGAGGAGCGAAAGCGUGGGGAGCGAACAGG